rnacentral:rRNA from 1 species
CAUUGAUCUUUAACAAACUGAAGAAGCCGAAGUAAACCCAAGCGUCAUGACCGACAGGUUAUGGUGUGAGGGAUGGGUAGUAAUGUAUCGUCGGUCUAUUCCCUGAGGAGGGAAUAGGUCGAGCGCGAUCCGAAUAGCAAGGCUAUUCAAAUGAUAGGGUCAAGCGAAUAAGUGCAUCUGGUGGAUGCCUUGGCGAUCAUAGGCGAUGAAGGACGUGUAAGCCUGCGAAAAGCGUGGGGGAGCUGGCAAUAGAGCUUUGAUCCCACGAUGUCCGAAUGGGGAAACCCGGCCCUUAGGGGUCACUCCCACCUGAACACAUAGGGUGGGUAGAGCGAACGCGGAGAACUGAAACAUCUAAGUACCCGCAGGAAAAGAAAUCAACCGAGAUUCCGUGAGUAGUGGUGAGCGAAAAUGGAAGAGCCAUUAUGCUUUAGCUGUUGAGUUAGUGGAAGAGUCUGGAAAGGCUCGCCGUAGUGGGUGAUAGCCCCGUACACGAAAACUGAAUAGUGGAACCAGGCAUAAGACAAGUAGGGCGGGACACGAGAAAUCCUGUCUGAAGAUGGGGGGACCAUCCUCCAAGGCUAAAUACUCAUGAUCGACCGAUAGUGAACCAGUACCGUGAGGGAAAGGCGAAAAGAACCCCGGGAGGGGAGUGAAAUAGAACCUGAAACCGGAUGCAUACAAACAGUGGGAGCCCUUUAGGGGGUGACUGCGUACCUUUUGUAUAAUGGGUCAGCGACUUACGUUCAGUAGCAAGCUUAACCGAAUAGGGGAGGCGUAGCGAAAGCGAGUCCGAAUAGGGCGUUGUAGUUGCUGGGCGUAGACCCGAAACCGAGUGAUCUAUCCAUGGCCAGGAUGAAGGUGCGGUAACACGCAGUGGAGGUCCGAACCCACUAAUGUUGCAAAAUUAGGGGAUGAGCUGUGGAUAGGGGUGAAAGGCUAAACAAACUCGGAGAUAGCUGGUUCUCCCCGAAAACUAUUUAGGUAGUGCCUCAUGUAUCACUUCCGGGGGUAAAGCACUGUUAUGGCUAGGGGGUCAUUGCGACUUACCAACCCAUGGCAAACUCUGAAUACCGGAAAGUGCAAGCAUGGGAGACAGACGGUGGGUGCUAACGUCCAUCGUCAAGAGGGAAACAACCCAGACCGCCAGCUAAGGUCCCAAAUGAUCAGUUAAGUGGUAAACGAAGUGGGAAGGCUAAGACAGCCAGGAUGUUGGCUUAGAAGCAGCCAUCAUUUAAAGAAAGCGUAAUAGCUCACUGGUCGAGUCGUCCUGCGCGGAAGAUGUAACGGGGCUCAAACUGAUAACCGAAGCUGCGGAUUUGCACGCAAGUGCAAGUGGUAGGGGAGCGUUCUGUAGGUCUGCGAAGGUGUGCCGGAAGGCAUGCUGGAGAUAUCAGAAGUGCGAAUGCUGACAUGAGUAGCGAUAAAGCGGGUGAAAAGCCCGCUCACCGAAAGCCCAAGGAUUCCUACGCAACGUUCAUCGGCGUAGGGUGAGUCGGCCCCUAAGGCGAGGCAGAGAUGCGUAGUCGAUGGGAAACUGGUUAACAUUCCAGUACUUUCAUACAGUGCGAUGAGGGGACGGAGAAGGUUAGGUCAUCCACCUGUUGGAAUAGGUGGUUUAAGCUGGUAGGCGGGCAUCGUAGGCAAAUCCGCGAUGCUGUUAACGCCGAGAAGUGAUGACGAGGGUCUACGGACCUGAAGUGACUGAUACCCUGCUUCCAGGAAAAGCCUCUAAGCUUCAGCUGUAUGAGAACCGUACCGCAAACCGACACAGGUGGGCAGGAAGAAAAUUCUAAGGUGCUUGAGAGAACUCAGGAGAAGGAACUCGGCAAAUUGAUACCGUAACUUCGGGAGAAGGUAUGCCUCUUAGGGUGUAGGACUUCGCGUCCGAAGCUUUGAGAGGUCGCAGAGAAUCGGUGGCUGCGACUGUUUAUCAAAAACACAGCACUGUGCCAACACGAAAGUGGACGUAUACGGUGUGACGCCUGCCCGGUGCCGGAAGGUUAAGUGAUGGGGUGCAAGCUCUUGAUCGAAGCCCCGGUAAACGGCGGCCGUAACUAUAACGGUCCUAAGGUAGCGAAAUUCCUUGUCGGGUAAGUUCCGACCCGCACGAAUGGCGUAACGAUGGCCACACUGUCUCCUCCUGAGACUCAGCGAAGUUGAAAUGUUUGUGAAGAUGCAAUCUACCCGCUGCUAGACGGAAAGACCCCGUGAACCUUUACUGUAGCUUUGCAUGGGACUUUGAACAGACUUGUGUAGGAUAGGUGGGAGGCUAAGAAGCGUGAACGCUAGUUUGCGUGGAGCCGCCCUUGAAAUACCACCCUGGUGUGU